GUAGGGAAUAUUGCACAAUGGAGGAAACUCUGAUGCAGCGACGCCGCGUGAGUGAUGAAGGCCUUCGGGUCGUAAAGCUCUGUCGCAGGGGAAUAACACAAUGAAGGUACCCUGUAAGAAAGGAUCGGCUAACUUCGUGCCAGCAGCCGCGGUAAGACGAGGGAUCCUAGCGUUGUUCGGAAUUAUUGGGCGUAAAGCGGGUGCAGGUGGCUAUGUAAGUCAGGUGUGAAAGCCUAGGGCUCAACCCUAGAAGUGCAUUUGAUACUGCGUAGCUUGAGUGCUAGAGAGGAUAGUAGAAUUGUUGGUGUAGUGGUGAAAUACGUAGAUAUCAACAGGAAUACCGGUGGCGAAGGCGGCUAUCUGGCUAGACACUGACACUCAGACCCGAAAGCGUGGGGAUCAAACAGGAUUAGAAACCCUUGUAGUCC
rnacentral:rRNA from 1 species